GGUCAAGUGAGGUAAGGGCAUAUGGUGGAUGCCUCGGCACUUGGAGCCGAAGAAGGACGCGGCAAGCGGCGAAACGCUCCGGGGAGCCGCAAGCGGGCGAAGAUCCGGAGGUCUCCGAAUGGGGGAACCCACUCGAGGUAAUACUCGAGUAUCCACUGAUGAACACAUAGUCAGUGGAGGGGAACCGCGCGAACUGAAACAUCUAAGUAGCGCGAGGAAAAGAAAGAAAGGAAUCGAUUCCCUAAGUAGCGGCGAGCGAAAGGGGAGGAGCCCAAACCCGGCACUCAAGUGGACAUGGAAUUAUAGGCAAAAAAGAUGAUAUAAUACGUGUCCACUUGAGUGCCGGGGGUUAGGACCCACCGUAAAAGUGAGUGAGUACUCUAGGCGAACGGAUCUGGAAAGGCCGGCCGAAGAAGGUGAAAGCCCUGUAGUCGAAAGGGGAAAGCUUGCUGGUGGGGACCAGAGUACCACGGGAUAGGCGACCCUGUGGGAAGGCGGGAGGACCACCUCCCAAGGCUAAAUACUACCAAGUGACCGAUAGCGGAUAGUACCGUGAGGGAAAGGUGAAAAGAACCCCGGGAGGGGAGUGAAAGAGAACCUGAAACCAUAUGCCUACAAGCAGUCAGAGUCUGCCGUAAGGCAGAUGAUGGCGUACUUUUUGUAGAACGGGCCGGCGAGUUACGGUAGCAAGCGAGGUUAAGCGGUAAGCGGAGCCGAAGCGAAAGCGAGUCCGAAAAGGGCGAAAGUUUGCUGCUGUAGACCCGAAACCGUGCGACCUACCCAUGGCCAGGGUGAAGCCGGAGUAAGAUCUGGUGGAGGCCCGAACCACGUUGGCGUUGAAAAGCCAUGGGAUGAGCUGUGGGUAGAGGUGAAAUGCCAAUCGAGCACGGAGAUAGCUGGUUCUCCCCGAAAUAGCUUUAGGGCUAGCCUCAGGGUAGGACCUAUGGAGGUAGAGCACUGAAUGGGCUAGGGGCCAAGGAGGUUACCGAACCCUAUCAAACUCCGAAUGCCAUAGGUUAAUACCUGGGAGUCAGACUACGAGUGAUAAGAUCCGUAGUCGAGAGGGGAACAGCCCAGACCUCCAGCUAAGGUCCCAAAGGGCAUGUUAAGUGGUAAAGGAAGUGGGACUUCGAAGACAACCAGGAUGUUGGCUUAGAAGCAGCCAUACAUUUAAAGAGUGCGUAACAGCUCACUGGUCGAGAGGUCCUGCGCCGAAAAUGAACGGGGCUCAAACAUGCCACCGAAGCUGGGGCU
rnacentral:rRNA from 1 species